rnacentral:rRNA from 1 species
ACGGAAGGCAGCAGUGGGGAAUAUUGGUCAAUGGACGCAAGUCUGAACCAGCCAUGCCGCGUGAAGGAUUAAGGCCCUAUGGGUCGUAAACUUCUUUUGUAUGGGAGCAAUAAGUCCUACGUGUAGGAUGAUGAGAGUACCAUACGAAUAAGCAUCGGCUAAUUCCGUGCCAGCAGCCGCGGUAAUACGGAGGAUGCGAGCGUUAUCCGGAUUUAUUGGGUUUAAAGGGUGCGCAGGCGGCUUUGUAAGUCAGCGGUGAAAUGUCGGGGCUCAACGCCGGAACGGACGUUGAUACGGCAGGGCUUGAAUGCGGAGGCGGUGGGAGGAAUGUGUGGUGUAGCGGUGAAAUGCAUAGAUAUCACACAGAACACCGAUUGCGAAGGCAUCUCACGAAUCCGCGAUUGACGCUGAGGCACGAAAGUGUGGGGAUCAAACAGGAUUAGAUACCCUGGUA